rnacentral:lncRNA from 1 species
CCCAACGCAAUGAACAAUUAGAUACAGGGACAGAGGAGAGAAUGGAGGCAUUUCAAAGGUGAUGGGCCCCAAAGACAGGUGGCAGAACGGCCUCUAUGAAGGUUUGCACUCCCGCCCAACUCCGCCACCAGCUGGGAGGGCGACCCUGGACCUGUCACUUCCCCUCUUGGACCCCAAUUUCCUCAUCUGCAGAAACAAGGAAGUAGUUCCACUAGGUAUUUUCCAAGGCUCCCUCCAGCUCCAAGAACCUAUGGACAUUACAGAGCCACCGUAGCCAAAGCUCUCGCUCCCCCACCCCCCACACCUGGCAGCACUCUGAAUCCUUUGGCUUGCCACAUGGAACUAAAAUUCCCUAAGGACAAGCACAGUAGCUACCCUAAGAGCUCUCAAAGCACACACCCCCUGAAGCUUUCUUAUCCUAGCAACGGGAACCCCUUCCAGAUCAGCUCUCUCCAAAGGUACAAGGCUUUUUGAGGACUGAUCCCGCAGAACUGCAAGGGGCACAGGCGUGAGAAUAUGCCCUGAUCUCAUCCCAAACACAACAAAAGAAGACAAGACAAAGGUGACGAGGCCGGGCUGGCGGGAGGGGGCAGAAACCCCGGUGAGGAAGAGGGCUUCAGGUCUGCCAGCUGCUCUCUCGUCUGAGGAAUUGCCGAUGACAGUUUCCAAACUGCUACCCUGGAGGAUCCCAGAGCUUCAUUUUAAGCAGCCCUUUGGAAGGCAGGCUACCCCUCUAAUGCACAACCUGUCUUUGCAGACUGGUAAUGAAUUCAUGCCAAAGUGGUCAAUUCAUUUUAAUAAACUAAUGAAUAUGCAGAGGCCCCAGGAAGCCAAGGCAGCAGUGGUGGUGGACUCUGGAGCCGACUGUAAUUAGGCCCCUGCCCUACUUUCUAAAAUUGCAUUUCCCUGCCAGGGAGCCUGCUCCAGGCCUUAUGAGAAGAAAGUCGGUCCACAGAGUGGAGAAGGUGCUGCUCAUGGUGACGGUGCCUCUAUAAACAGCCCCACCACUGGAGAAGCCUUAGCUUACUGAGCUAAUUCCUGCUACUGCAGCUGCCUGGGCUGGCGCGGGGCACCACCAACCACCAAGCGCCCCCGCCCGGGGGCUGCUGAGAAAGGCCCUGCUCCCUGGAGGCAACAGGUGCUGAGAGACCUGGAACGAAAAACGGUCACAGACAACCCACCAGCCUUUCAAAGUCAACGUGGCAGCUCCAGCUUCCCACCCCCAGAGCAUCGAGGCACUGGAGCUCAGCCAAAGAACAGCAGCCUCUCACCGCUCAGGACACAAAGCCCACUCAGCGAGGGUUUGUCUGCAGGGCCACCACCGAGGCCAGGGGAUCGCUAGAGCCCCCAGGAGAGAACGGCCGCGGAGCAAGGGGGAGGCAGAAGAGCGGGUGGGGUAACCCCCUGGAUCCGCAGAAGCGGGGAGACACACGACUACGCAGGCCGCUGAGGGGUAACUGGAAUUCAGCUUGUAAACCAGAAGGCACCAGAUUAGGAGAAGGGGCGACUUGGAAAGAAAUGCUGCAGAAGUAAACGUGGAAAGGGAGAGGCGGCCCUGCCGCCGGCCCGUCCUAGGGGUCCCCAAGGCUCCGGCAUUACCCGGGUCGGCGGAUGUUAAACUCUGCGUCCUAAGAGCGCUUCCCUUCCCUCCCUUUUUCGAGAGACAGAGAACGAAUCUGUAAUCUAGAAAUGGUCAUUUCUCCAGAAUGGGCACUCGAGAUGAGGGAGAGCUGAGCAGGCGCAGGAGAAGGGAGGGAGG